rnacentral:lncRNA from 1 species
UUUUUUUUUUUUUUAAUCAAACGGAAUUGGAAUGUGCAAACAAAAUAUAUAACUAAGUUCUUAAGUUUACAUGUCUGCUUUUCCAAAGAAAAUAGUCAAAGCUAAAAGGCUAUAAAUGUCACCUACUUUCAAGAACAUGAGAAAAAUAGAACCCCCAAAUUCUAGAAAAAUAAUAAUUUUCAGCAUGCCUUCUAUGCUUCAUUAGAAAAGAUUGGGGGAGAAAAGGAGCUUAGGGGAGAACUUUGCAGUCCUUGCAUGUUGGAAAUUCCAGCUGAUGUCAGUGGAAGUUUAGUAACGGGAGGAAUGUAGAAAUGGUCUGAACCCGUGUUCUGGUUGUGAACUUGGAACAGAAUCAGAAACAAUUAAUACUUGUUUCUGACUAAAAUGAUCUAUUCUCAAACAGAGCGAGGCAAAGCAAAACAGGGGAAAUUGGCAGUAUCGCAGCAUAUGUUAGAAACUAAAUGCAGGCUAGCCAACAGUUUUGACAGUGUUUGAUUAGUGUACGUAGCCAUUGAAGGGAAAUAACUGUAUUUUUAAAACCAAACAGCAUGAAUUCAUCCAGAGAAGCUCAUUUUAUAAAGAGAAGUAAUUCUAUCCAGUGCUCAUUGGUGACAAUAUCAAUUAAGAUAGUUGAGUUUGAGAACUACCAGAAUUAAAGAAUAAAUAUAUUGUAUUGUGCUCUGCACGGUGUCUUUUUAUACUUAAUAAAAUUGUACGUACCUAUUUUAAAACUGUAUUCUCAGACACUGCUAUUAAUAUUGACAGUAUAUAAAUUGUUAUUACGACUGCAUCCAACUGUUCUGUAUCUCAUCAGUAUGAUAUGAAUUACACUGAUAGCUGCAUUUUCAGACACCAACUAUUCAGAUUGUCAGCCCACUGUACUGCAUUUUUCCAAACCAUCUCUCCACCUUCUCCCCUCCUUUUCCUCAAAAAAUUUAGGUUUGAUGGAGUGGAAUGUGCUGAUUAAUAAAUUUCAAUAAUAGAAUAUCAUUCAUAUAGAGAAGCAUAUCAAAUCCAUUUUCAUAUCUUAUGAUUCAAUAAAUUAUUUACACAUACUAAAA